rnacentral:rRNA from 1 species
CAAUAGCGUAUAUUAAAGUUGUUGCGGUUAAAAAGCUCGUAGUUGGAUUUCUGCCGAGGACGUCCGGUCCGCCCUCUGGGUGAGUACAUGGCACGGCCUGGGCAUCUUCUUGGGGAACGUAUCUGCACUUGACUGUGUGGUGCGGUAUCCAGGACUUUUACUUUGAGGAAAUUAGAGUGUUUCAAGCAGGCACACGCCUUGAAUACAUUAGCAUGGAAUAAUAAGAUAGGACCUCGGUUCUAUUUUGUUGGUUUCUAGAGCUGAGGUAAUGAUUAAUAGGGAUAGUUGGGGGCAUUCGUAUUUAACUGUCAGAGGUGAAAUUCUUGGAUUUGUUAAAGGCGGACUACUGCGAAAGCAUUUGCCAAGGAUGUUUNCAUUG